rnacentral:rRNA from 1 species
ACUGCUCAGUAACACGUGGAUAACCUGCCCUACACUGGGGGAUAAUCUCGGGAAACUGAGGAUAAUACCCCAUAGACCACUACGCCUGGAACGGUGAGUGGUUGAAAGCUCAGGCGGUGUAGGAUGGGUCUGCGGCGUAUCAGGUCGUAGGGGGUGUAAUGGACCUCCUAGCCAUCGACGCGUACGGGUUGUGGGAGCAAUAGCCCGGGGACGGAUUCUGAGACACGAAUCCGGACCCUACGGGGUGCAGCAGGCGCGAAAACUUCACACUGCAGGAAA